GGAGAGAUGGUCGAGUUGGUCGAAGGCGCACGACUGGAAAUCGUGUAGACGAUGAAACGUCUCGGGGGUUCGAAUCCCCCUCUCUCCG
rnacentral:tRNA from 1 species